AGACUUCGAGUCUCCUGAAGGAACGUUGAAGACGACGACGUUGAUAGGCCGGGUGUGUAAGCGCAGCGAUGCGUUGAGCUAACCGGUACUAAUGAACCGUGAGGCUUAACCUUACAACGCCGAAG
rnacentral:rRNA from 1 species